CAGAGUAGGAAGAUAAUAAAAAUAAUAAAAAAAUCAAUGCACAACUUAACAAAACCAGAUUCAGGCACAGAUGAAAAGGGAGGAGGGGCUUGGGGCUAUGGAUAGGCAGAGGUGAAGAGAUGGGUCUUGAGGCGGGACUGGAAGAUGGUGAGGGACUCAGAGGUGGGGAUCUCUUUGCGGCAGAGCAACAUCUGUGCAAAUUCACGUGGGUGGCACCCGGUUCAUACCCCUACCACG